CUUCAAAAAUCAUAGUUCACUUCAAAUCAGAAUGGUACAGAGAAGAUUCGUAUGGACCCUGGGCAAGGAUAAGAUGCAAAUUUGUGAAGCAUUCCAUAUUGCA